rnacentral:rRNA from 1 species
GAGCUAUCAAUCUGUCAAUCCUUCCAGCGUCCGGGCCUGGUGAGAUUUCCCGUGUUGAGACAAAUUAAGCCACAGGCUCCACUCCUGGUGGUGCCCUUCCGUCAAUUCCUUUAAGUUUCAGCUUUGCAACCAUACUUCCCCUGGAACCCAAAUGCUUUGGUUUCCCGGAAGCUUCCUGCUGAGUCUACAGUAAAAACGUCAGCAGAUCGCUAGCUGGCAUCGUUUAUGGUUAGAACUAGGGCGGUAUCUAAUCGCCUUCGAACCUCUAACUUUCGUUCUUGAUUAAUGAAAACAUUCUUGGCAAAUGCUUUCGCAGUAGUUUGUCUUCAAACGGUCCAAGAAUUUCACCUCUGUCGUUUGAAUACAAAUGCCCCCGACUGUCCCUAUUAAUCAUUAUGUCAAGUCUCGAAAACCAACAAAAUAAGAUCAACAUCCUAUUCUAUUAUUCCAUGCACAAAUAUUCGAGCAUAACAGCCCGCUUUAAGCACCCUAAUUUUUUCAAAGUAAACCUGUCGGCACUCAGAGACACUCGGUUAAGAGCACCCCUAAACCUCCGACAAAAGCACAGCUUUGGAUCAGUAUUACACAAAGUAAACCGAUCCAAGUCUGUUGAGAUCCAACUACGAGCUUUUUAACCACAACGACUUUAAUAUACGCUAUUGGAGCUGGAAU